UUAUUAUUACGAUGAUUAUUAUCCUUCAUUAUUUUAUUUUAUUUCAUUAUUAUUACUGAUAUUAUUAUGUUGAGCGUCUUUAUUGUCAUCGUUAUUAUCAUCACCAUGGUCACGAUCGUCAUCGUUUCCAUUUUCAUUAUUAUCAUCAUUCUCAUUGUCGCGUUUAUCAAUUACGUUGUUAUCGAUAUCGAUGUCAUCAAUAUAUUGACAUGUCGCUGUUGACUGAAAAUGAUCAUCGGCCACAUGACGGUUCAGUAUCGGUAAACCAACCGAAUCCACACACCCGCAUUACAUAGGAGUAAGAAGGAAUUGACGUACCAAUGUCGAGAGAACUUGUUUGUGCCUACGACUCUCUUCAUGUAACACGGUAACGCUUUUACACGCCGUAAUGUGCGAUGGAUAUACACCGGCGACUCGUUGUGCGCGAUCGCAUGUAUAACUGUGAAUUAUAACGAAUUGAAGCUAUCGCAGAUCUCAUUGUAUUCACAGCCCCACAGGACGAGUAAGCGUGUUUCCGAAUUAGUUGUAAUCGAAAUUUCGAUUGUCGCGAAAUCCGAUUAUAUCCUCUUGAAAGGCAUGAAACUGAAAAGGAAACGACGAUCGCGCGUUCCAUCGGCUCCUCGAGACGGGUAUGAAACAUUGGACAUCUGUAAAUAAACUUUCAUUUUAUCUCUAUCAUGUUCACAAAUUAAGUCACGCACGUUAACAUAAACAUCGCAAGAGAUAUAUAAUGUAUAAAGUAAAAGUUCGCGCUCUUCUGAUUUUAUCGGAUAUUUAAUUUCAAUUUCCUUUUAUUCACUGUUCAGGGAAUAUGAAAUAUUUCUAAUUGAAUUAUUGGAAUAUUUAUAUUCCACAUUAGAAUAUUUGUAGUAUGUAUGAGCCUGAGUAUAAACAGUAAAUAACUUUUAUAUAACUUCAAUUUUGGGUUAUAUAUUGUAGAAGAUGUAAAAGAGUAGCAAUAUUAGCGUCCAAUAAGCGCUAUCAAGAUAAUAUUGAAUUGUAUCCGUAUAAAAAUCCAUUACUAAAGUCCGAACUAUCCUGAUACAUUAAUUGUCGAAAUGAUUUCUUUGAUAUGUGUACACUGCCUAUUUUUUCUACACAAGGAUGCACGAUAGUUCCAUCAUUACUAUGCGAAUUGUAAUUAAAUAUACAUUAAGGAAUGUUUCGCUAUGAGUCAUGUUCAUUCCUCGAAACGCAAAGUAUGUCUCUGUGAAUAUCCUAACGCGAUGAGGAUAUCAUUCGCGUAUUAUUUGUAAUAAUAAUAAUUUUUCAUCUGCUGGUAGUUUUAAAUACGAUGUCAGUCGCGCAGAAAACUCGCAUAGUUUCCGUGCUGUAUUUUUCAAAGCAAUAUCACAGCUUCGGUUUCAUGCCUUCCAAAGCGAAAUUAUUAUCAUGUGAGAAAGUGAUCUAUCGUGAUGAACAGUUGAAACAAUUACAUUUUACAUAACAUAUCGAUGAAGUAAGGUUUUUCUGUCUGUAGACUCUAUAGCGUAUAUAAUGAAAAUUUAGUAACACGUAAACGCGAGGAACAAAUAGAAGUUAUAUGACAUUGCAGUUGAUUCGCACCAAUGUGUAUCGAUUAAAAGGAGAAAAAAAAACGAUGAGACAGAACUUUUUUCGAUGCAAAUUAUCCUCUAUGAGAAGAGUGUGACGGACAACUCUUGUUUUUUGAUCCAUGUACGUUUUUGAUUAUUAAAAGAGACAUUAACGAACAAAUGAGAAAGAAGAAAAUCAAUGGUACGUCUGCGCUCGAUUCUAUUUCAAUGAUCGAGAAAAAUAAUGAAAAUCUAUAUUGUCGGAAUUAAUAAUAAAAACUGAAUUGUACAUGAUAUUCACUGAGACAAAUUGAUUUAAAUGCGGAACGGAAGAGAUAACUCAUCGAAUACGGUAUACAUGCAAUAACAUAACGAACUCUCUUUGCUGCGAACAUAUUUAAUCAUUAUUUUUCAUGAUGAGGAGAGCCUUGUAUCACGAGGCAUUUCAAGGGAUUUACACGAAGUGACAUGCGAUUUUCUGCUAGUGGUUCGCAACGAAAGCGACCAAGAGAAAUAAGAAUUUAAACGAAAAUCCAAAGAGCAUGGAGAGCAAGGAUCCUGUCAGCCAUAUUGAUAAAAUAAGCAAGAAUACGGCAAGCGGCAAAACACGGAAAUGAUGAAUGCGAAGAAAUUUGUGUUACGUCCAAAGGUUUCACCACCUACAUGCUAGUCUGGCCGAUGACUUCGUACCAGUUCUGAGAUAUAUAUGCGCAUACGUACCGUGUUAUAUAAUACGCCAUCGUUGUAUCCAUUGAAAUAACUUAACUACCUGGCAAGCGCAUCCAACAAAAUGGAAACCAUGUACUUACGGAGUUAUUGCAUAGCCACAUAGUAUACUCGGACCCGUACGUGCUCUCGUACGAUAGAAAAAGCGAAUGAAAGACGGAAGAGAGGGAGAGAACCACUCCGUCGAACAUUUUGAAAAGUUGAUACGCUUAAAAAAACCUAGAAAAUCUAUGGGAUUUCAUUACACUUUCUCUCUCUCCCUCUCUUUCUCUCUCUCUCAUUAUCUGUAUCUUGUCCACUGUCGACGCACUGAGAGUAUCGUUCCUUUUUCUUGUGAACUUGCCGCGAUUGACAAGCGAUCAUCGAAUUAGGGCGUCGUUUUAUGUUUAUAUGAGCGGACACUGAAAGUGAGUGAGUGAUCUGACGAAUGUCUGACACCUGAUGAUACGCUGUGCGUGGAAAGAGAACGAGUCGUGAAGAGACAUUUUACUUCGGAGCGCUUUUCUCCUGACGAGGCCGUAGCUUCGUGCAUGUUAUAUCCGCCGUAUUUGUACAUAAGAUACUAGACCGCAUUCGCGAAUCGUCCUCGCGAGUAGAAUUGUUCGUGCGAACUAAUAGCGAGCGGCACAUGUAAUUGUAAUUCCUCAUCGAAUGAGAACACGUGCGUGCGAGAUGUCCACGUGAACUCAACGCAGAAAAAGAGAGAGUUUCCGAUAUUUAUAUCACUGUCCUGCCACCGGGAAAUCCGUGCUGGUGUAAUUAUAAAAUAAAUAUCCUGCUGUGCAACCAUGUUGCACAAGAACGUUUAGCCCGUA
rnacentral:lncRNA from 1 species